CCUACGGGAGGCAGCAGUGGGGAAUAUUGGGCAAUGGGCGCAAGCCUGACCCAGCAACGCCGCGUGAAGGAAGAAGGCUUUCGGGUUGUAAACUUCUUUUCUGAGGGACGAAGAAAGUGACGGUACCUCAGGAAUAAGCCACGGCUAACUACGUGCCAGCAGCCGCGGUAAUACGUAGGUGGCAAGCGUUAUCCGGAUUUAUUGGGUGUAAAGGGCGGGUAGGCGGGAAAGCAAGUCAGAUGUGAAAACUCAGGGCUCAAACCUGAGCCUGCAUUUGAAACUGUUUAUCUUGAGUGCUGGAGAGGCAAUCGGAAUUCCGGGUGUAGCGGUGAAAUGCAUAGAUAUACGGAGGAACACCAAUGGCGAAGGCGGAUUGCUAAGCAAUAACUGACGCUGAGGCGCGAAAGCGUGGGGAGCAAACAGGAUUAGAUACCCCUGUAGUC
rnacentral:rRNA from 1 species